ensembl:snRNA U4 U4 spliceosomal RNA
AGCUUUGCGCAGUGGCAGUAUCGUAGCUAAUGAGGUUUAUCGGAGACUCAAUUAUUGCUAAUUUAAUUCUAUUAGUUGUAGGGUUAGUUUAUUAAAGAAUUUUCUUGUUUCUUGAGGUAGGCCUAUAAUGCUAUGAACUUCCCUCUAAGGA